CGGACAGUGUCUGGUGGGUAGUUUGACUGGGGCGGUCUCCUCCUAAAGAGUAACGGAGGAGCACGAAGGUUGGCUAAUCCUGGUCGGACAUCAGGAGGUUAGUGCAAUGGCAUAAGCCAGCUUGACUGCGAGCGUGACGGCGCGAGCAGGUGCGAAAGCAGGUCAUAGUGAUCCGGUGGUUCUGAAUGGAAGGGCCAUCGCUCAACGGAUAAAAGGUACUCCGGGGAUAACAGGCUGAUACCGCCCAAGAGUUCAUAUCGACGGCGGUGUUUGGCACCUCGAUGUCGGCUCAUCACAUCCUGGGGCUGAAGUAGGUCCCAAGGGUAUGGCUGUUCGCCAUUUAAAGUGGUACGCGAGCUGGGUUUAGAACGUCGUGAGACAGUUCGGUCCCUAUCUGCCGUGGGCGCUGGAGAACUGAGGGGGGCUGCUCCUAGUACGAGAGGACCGGAGUGGACGCAUCACUGGUGUUCGGGUUGUCAUGCCAAUGGCACUGCCCGGUAGCUAAAUGCGGAAGAGAUAAGUGCUGAAAGCAUCUAAGCACGAAACUUGCCCCGAGAUGAGUUCUCCCUGAGACUUUAGGUCUCCUGAAGGAACGUUGA
rnacentral:rRNA from 1 species